UCCACUUGUCUUGCCCAUCCAUGUUUUGUUUGUCUCCAUGUUCCAUAUUUGUUAGGAAAUCUGUGCAUUGGUUUCGUUCCCUGUAAAUAGUUGAAACCCCAUACUUUGAUUUGAAUGGUCGUUGUUAUUCUCCAUGUAUAACCACUUACUAGUGUCCAUCCAUAUCUUCUGUAAGAUCUUGAUCUUUCCUUUUACAUUUUUCUGUCCCCUUUGAUCCAUACAUUGUUGAGGUGAUCGUCCUUAGUGGGUCAAUAUUCCUUCUUUACUCAAAUUACUCUUCAGUUGUCGUCAUUUCUGUGAUGUCGGCGCUGGUUCUUUCUUAGUAGUCUUCCUUUUCCUUUCCCCCCGGCUCCUGCUAUGCUCCCUAGUCCCUACUCCCUAACAGCCUAUUGUCGCUCUAUCUCUGCUUUUUGCUUGAUGUAUCCAAGUUGAUUUUUGACUUCAUUUCUUCAUGGAUUUUGUCAUUGUUUUCCUUUUGCUCCUUCUUCUCUGUUAUAAUUAUAUUGUUUGGUUUGAUUGGUGUCUUUUUUGCUACCCUUAUUGCUUUUGCUUUUUAAGGUCUGCAUUGUAAUUAAUUUCUUUCUUUUAUUUUAUAAGAUAGGUCUCAAUCGUGCAUUGGGAACAUCUCCUGUAAUUGUGAAUUAUUAUUUAUGGUAAGAUGAUCUCAAUACACAGAAUUGGGAUGUGGUGUGAGCUUAGUGUGAGGAGUAAAUCCCAAUUUUUUUCAUAAGAGCAUGUCUCCUUCGUUGCCUUUUCUUUUUAGAUUUAACACCAUAUUUGAUUGUUGACAAAUAGAGAUGGCAUUCAUUAUUCUCUUUUCUACAUGGAUCUAUGUUCAUCCUCUUGUUAAUAUUUUUUCCUUUGCCAGCAUUUCUCUUAUGGUAAGUUUGGCUGCUAAGAAACGCAUGGGAAGAGAAGCAUCUUUGAAGAAUAUUUUCUUUUUCUUACAUUUGUUUCAAAGGAAGCCUCAGGAAAGGAAGAGAAAAUAAUGAGUUGUGAGUUCUCAAAAAUCAAUGGGUGGGGUCGAUGAGAAAGGAAAAAUGCGAUAAAAUAUUGUUGAGAGGGACCUACCAGACUUCGUCUCCUUCCUUCCAGCCGGCCAACGAUAACAUCUCCGGCACCGUCUCCGGCAUUUUCGUCAUAAGAGUUAGACAUGGAUACUCAGUCCAACGAAACCGAUAGUAGAUCUAAUAAGGUGAACAUGAGCUGGACAAGUGAGAUGGAUAACACACUGAUUGAAACUAUGGUGGAGCAAGUCACCCUUGGACACAAGGUUGACAAGAGCUUUAAGGCUCCGGCAUAUACUACAGCUGCAAGAGCCAUAAGUCUGAAAUAUGAAGUGGAGUGCACACAGAACCACAUUAGGAAUUGAAUGAAGACAAUAAAGAAGAAUUUCUCCACGAUAACGAACAUCACCAAUUCUAGUGGUUUUUCCUGGAAUGACAUGACUAAAACCAUCGAUGCAGAGCCCCGAGUGUGAAAUGAAUACAUCCAGUUGGACAGGGACACCCAAAAGCAAAGCAAUUUAGGAGAAAAUCCAUCAACAACUAUGACCAAAUCGUUAUAGUAUGUGGAAAUAAUCAAGUAACUAGUGUUGGUGCAUUCACUACUAGGGAACUAAGCAGGUGUGAGGCAGCAUCAGUGAAUGAAACCACUAGCAUGCUGACAAUGCAGGAUCCUGUAUUUGAUGAGGUUGAAGGAGACAAUGUUGGUGACUCAACUCAUCAGGCUAGGCCACCUGAGGAGGGUAGCUCAGCUGAGUGGAGAGGUCUUGGGAAGAGAAAGUCGUAUGCAGCUGCAUUUGCUAAAGAAGUACAUGAGAUUGCAUCUAGCAUUAAGUCUUUGGCUUCUGCUGUUGAGAAGGGAAUCGGGUUGCUGAAGAAGGAAAAGCUUUAUGAUGAUGUGCUAAGCUUAUCAAUUAUCUGAUUGAGUCUGAAAAUCAAGCAAUAGCAUUUUAUGCCUUGGCUCCGGAAUUGAGGAAGGCAUGGUUAGAUUUGAAGUUGGGCCCACUUAACUGAAGUUUCUUUGGUAACACCCUUUUUUGGAGACACUAAUGAAUAUGGUUCACUAACACCCCACUUUUUUGUUAUGCUUUAUGGGUUGUUUCUUGGCUACGUAUUUAUGUUUUGUAAAACUUGAACAUUACUUAGAUUGACAUAUGACUCAAACAUGUCUUGACUGGCUUUGUCUUGACCAGUCGAUAGAAACAAUCCUUUUUUGUGGAAGACUUGAACAUUACCCAAGUGGAUGAUUAAAUGAAGAUACUGAUGGUUCAUGAAUGAUGGUUGAAUA